GACGAACGCUGGCGGCGUGCUUAACACAUGCAAGUCGAGCGGAGCGGCGAACGGGUGAGUAACGCGUGAGUAACUGCCCCCCUCUCUGGGAUAACAGUUGGAACCGGAUGCUAAUACCGGAUAGUGGGGGCUGACUCGCGUCCUAUCAGCUUGUGGGGGGGGUAGUGGCCUACCACGGCGACGACGGGUAGCCGGCCUGAGAGGGCGACCGGCCACAUUGGGCUGAGAUACUGACCAAGCGCCUACGGUAGGCAGCAGGGGGGAAUAUUGCGCAAUGGGGGAAACCCUGAUGCGGCAACGCGGGUGCGGGAUGACGGCCUGCGGGUUGUAAACCGCUUUCAGCCAAUACGCGGUAGUGGCAGAAGAAGGACCGGCUAACUACGUGCCAGCAGCGGCGGUAAUAC
rnacentral:rRNA from 1 species